AUGUUACAGAUCUAUAAUCUAAUUGGGUUGCAGACUAUUACACAUUCUGAAACGGUUACUUCCAAUUGCUGUUUAUCUUCUUCAGAAAGAAGGGGAAUACCUGAGUGGCCAUGAUGUAUUUCUGAGGCGUGUAGCAGAUGCUUUCAACAAUUUUGCAGAAUCCACCGAAAAAUCAUGCCGUGAAAAGUAAAUGCUUUUCUGCAUCUAUAC